rnacentral:rRNA from 1 species
GACGAACGCUGGCGGCGUGCUUAACACAUGCAAGUCGAACGGAAAGUUCCUGCUUUUUUGGGGUCCUCGAGUUGCGAACUGGUGAGUAACACGUGAGUUACCUGCCCUUUACUUUGGGAUAACUUCAGGAAACUGGGUCUAAUACCGGAUAGGAGCUCCUGCUUCUUGGUGGGGGUUGGAAAGUUUCGGCGGUUGGGGAUGUACUCGCGGCUUAUCAGCUUGUUGGUGGGGUAGUGUCUUACCAAGGCUUUGACGGGUAGCCUGGCUGAGAGGGUGACCGGCCAAACUGGGAUUGAGAUACGGCACGGACUCCUCCCGGACGGAACAGUGGGGAAUGUUGUACAAUAGGCUGAAGCCUAAUGUAGCACAGCAACGUGGGGUAAGACGGCCUGCGGGUUGUGUUCCGCUGUUGCCUGUGACGAAACGUGAGUGACGGUAAUGGGUAAAGAAGCACCGGCUAACUACGUG